CUUUCCUUUGUUUUAAAAACUCCUGCUCCCAUUUUCUGUUAGCGCCUUGCUUGUAAUGAGUUAACACUGGGCUCUGAAGUAAGCGAAGAGGAUGGUUUUGGAAAUUGGGCACCUGGCACCCUGUCUCCUCUGCCCGCCACCGGUAUUAAGCGAGACAAGCUGGGUUUCUCUUUAGAAGCUCCGGAUCUCACAUCUUACCCCCUCCGCCCCUUUACUUUGCAUUUUGAAGGCUUCCAAACUUGCUCGGUGGAGCGAGGCUCUCUGUUCACCAUCUCCCCCAGCUUCCCACGUUGCCGAGAAUAACCUGUCGAUGAAGAAGAGUGACGGAGAGAGCAAAAUUGAUUUUAUUCAAAUUUGUGUACGCAAUUGUGUUUUGCUCGUGUGAGCACCGGUGCCACUUGCCUUUCAGAAAGGAGUCCUACGAUACACGCCUCUCUGGAAGCAACACUCGCCCCUGUUCCAGAAGAACAAAAUCACAGCGUGACGUCGAAACCUGGCAAGAACCUGGGGUAACUUAACCAUCUGCCUAUGAAAUUGUGGGACUUCAGCACUGUCACUUCCCUGACCACCCUGACCUGGACCUACACUUGACCAUUGGUUCUUCCAAGCUCACUCCAUUAGGUCUCGCUCAGGCCCACACCCGAACAGCUUCAGAACAGUGCCGAUGGACAGCAGCCAACCUGGGAAUUCUGCCCUCUCAGCAACUUCGCCCGCAACUGUCUCCCAAUCCUGAGAACAAACACAGCUCCACAAUGGCCGCGUUUUCUCGAGAUGCAAAUGUCGCCGGCUCGGCGGAGCUGGGUUUCUGUCACCGCGCCUAAUGCCGGAUUUCCUGAAUGCUAAACAUUCACUCUCCCCCUGAACUACACCUCCAACCCAUACGGUGGAUGUUUGAACAAGGACGAUAGUGUUCCCAACCAGCCAUGUCCUGGGACCUUCCUGGAACCUCCUGAGGUCUUACUACCACUCGUUGGCUUCCUCCCAACUAAAUGAGGAUUCUGUAGCUGCACCUAGAGGAGGUAUCCCAUGGGUCAACUUUUGUAUUAGGGACUGACGGCGAGGUCAAAGGUGGUCCAAGGACGUCAAAGGACAGGCAUUCUCUCCAGGAUAUGAGAAGAGAAAG
ensembl:lncRNA